rnacentral:lncRNA from 1 species
AGUCAUUUGCUUUGAGAAGUAUGUAUCAUCUACUGUUCUUGACAUGAAUUCAGUCUACUCAUUUUCUACACGUACAAGCACGUACCCUGCUUUCCUGGGUACAGGAGGACAGUAAGCCAUAAAAUGAAAGGGCUUUACCAUGAAAAUCAGCACAAACUCAUUUGCUUAUUUGGCAAACAUGCUUUCAUUCUCCACGGCCAUGAGAGGGAGAGACUGGAAAUAGAGACAUUUUUGGAUUCUCUUGGAUCUAUUAAUUAUUUUCCAACAAGUGGAUGUACUAGUAUGAGAUUUGCAAGAUGGAGUUGAGUCCCAAGACAUUUUCCUACCACUCCUGGCUCACAUGUCUGGAAAGGUUAACUUUUACCAGAGAGACGGGAAGCCUUGGAAGAACGUCAAAGGAACCCUUGGGUCAUUUUUCAGGUCUGCACAAAGGCAGUGUUGUGGCUGAAAUUAUGAGAACUAAGAAAAUGAGGAACUCUAACCGUAAGGAUGACAAGGACUGAAAGCGGAAUGGCAGGUGAGGCAGGUCACAGAGUGCUGCAAGGCUUCCAGGCAUUGGACAGACCCACCAGCUGGCCAGGCUGACCAUAAACCACAGGCCAGACAGAAGGGCCCAUGAGACCAAAAGAAAAAUAAACAAAAAAUGGAGCUCA